rnacentral:rRNA from 1 species
CCUACGGGAGGCAGCAGUGGGGAAUCUUAGACAAUGGGGGCAACCCUGAUCUAGCCAUGCCGCGUGAGUGAUGAAGGCCUUAGGGUCGUAAAGCUCUUUCGCCUGUGAUGAUAAUGACAGUAGCAGGUAAAGAAACCCCGGCUAACUCCGUGCCAGCAGCCGCGGUAAUACGGAGGGGGUUAGCGUUGUUCGGAAUUACUGGGCGUAAAGCGCGCGUAGGCGGAUUAGAAAGUUGGGGGUGAAAUCCCGGGGCUCAACCUCGGAACUGCCUCCAAAACUGCUAGUCUAGAGUUCGAGAGAGGUGAGUGGAAUUCCGAGUGUAGAGGUGAAAUUCGUAGAUAUUCGGAGGAACACCAGUGGCGAAGGCGGCUCACUGGCUCGAUACUGACGCUGAGGUGCGAAAGUGUGGGGAGCAAACAGGAUUAGAUACCCUGGUAGUCCACACCGUAAACGAUGAAUGCCAGUCGUCGGGUAGUAUACUAUUCGGUGACACACCUAACGGAUUAAGCAUUCCGCCUGGGGAGUACGGUCGCAAGAUUAAAACUCAAAGGAAUUGACGGA